UGCAGUUGCGUGAAGUAUGAUUCGUCCUUUAUAGAUCCUACCCGAAGAGCCACAGAUACACGCAACCAUUUUCUAGCACAAACGCAUCUGGACUCUGCGGGAGGGGCAAGGUCUUUACUUGUCCUCUUCCUGUAGGCCGGCUCCCCACAGGGGCUCUUCACCUCGGAGUUUAACAUCUGAAUCAUGCUCACCUAGGAUGAGCGUCUGAUUUGCCUUCUGAGAUCAUUCAGCCUAAAAAUGAAGUCCUGUUACUGAACGUGGAGACCUUGUGGAUAAAACAAUGUAAGUUGCCCGUGUGUAUGUGACGGUGCGUCUGAGAAAGGACUGAGUUCAGUCAGACA
rnacentral:lncRNA from 1 species